rnacentral:rRNA from 1 species
GUGGGAGCUUGCUCCUACUGGAUUAGUGGCGAACGGGUGAGUAACACGUGAGCAAUCUGCCCCUGACUCUGGGAUAAGCGUUGGAAACGACGUCUAAUACCGGAUACGAGCUGGGACCGCAUGGUCACCAGCUGGAAAGAACUUUGGUCAGGGAUGAGCUCGCGGCCUAUCAGCUUGUUGGUGAGGUAAUGGCUCACCAAGGCGACGACGGGUAGCCGGCCUGAGAGGGUGACCGGCCACACUGGGACUGAGACACGGCCCAGACUCCUACGGGAGGCAGCAGUGGGGAAUAUUGCACAAUGGGCGCAAGCCUGAUGCAGCAACGCCGCGUGAGGGACGAAGGCCUUCGGGUUGUAAACCUCUUUUAGCAGGGAAGAAGCGAAAGUGACGGUACCUGCAGAAAAAGCGCCGGCUAACUACGUGCCAGCAGCCGCGGUAAUACGUAGGGCGCAAGCGUUGUCCGGAAUUAUUGGGCGUAAAGAGCUCGUA